CCCAAAACGUAAUCCUCCCCAUCUCUUCAGGCUUGAAUUUCAGAAGGUGCUGAGCUUUGAGUGUAAUGCAUUCUAUAAAGGGUAGUUGGGUUGGGCAGACAUUCGCCCUAGCUAAAAAUAAUGAAUCUGAAGGAAGGAGGUCCAGAAUUCGGCGUUCAAAGGAAGAGAGGAAGGCAAUGGUUGAAUCCUUUAUAAAAAAAGUAUCAGAAAAUAAACAAUGGGAGUUUUCCAUCACUUAAUCUGACCCACAAAGAAGUUGGUGGGUCUUUCUACACUGUACGAGAAAUUGUUCGAGAUAUAAUUCAGGAAAAUAGAGUGCUUGGUCCUGCUAAGUUUACUG